rnacentral:lncRNA from 1 species
UCAGAGCUGAUGAGGGAGGACCAAUCUGGCGACUCAUCCCUGUCUCCUUCCUUCUCCUCAAGGGACUGCAUACGAGGCAUGACAUCAGCUCCAGGCGGAGGAGGGUUGCAGACAUAAAAUUUUGAUUCAUCCUGCAAGCAACAGAAGACUAGUCAGCACAAUGACAGAUGUCAAAACUAGUACUCAAGGGCUGCAAGCCACAGGUACUUACAAGAUCUGGCAGGUUCGUGGCGUA